GACGAACGCUGGCGGCGUGCUUAACACAUGCAAGUCGAACGGUAAGGCCCUUCGGGGUACACGAGUGGCGAACGGGUGAGUCACACGUGGGUAAUCUGCCCUGCACAUCGGGAUAAGCCUGGGAAACUGGGUCUAAUACCGAAUAGGACCACAGGACACAUGUCCUGUGGUGGAAAGCUUUUGCGGUGUGGGAUGGGCCCGCGGCCUAUCAGCUUGUUGGUGGGGUGAUGGCCUACCAAGGCGACGACGGGUAGCCGGCCUGAGAGGGUGUCCGGCCACACUGGGACUGAGAUACGGCCCAGACUCCUACGGGAGGCAGCAGUGGGGAAUAUUGCACAAUGGGCGAAAGCCUGAUGCAGCGACGCCGCGUGGGGGAUGACGGCCUUCGGGUUGUAAACCUCUUUCACCAUCGACGAAGGUCCGGGUUUUCUCGGGCUGACGGUAGGUGGAGAAGAAGCACCGGCCAACUACGUG
rnacentral:rRNA from 1 species